CAAACAAUUAUCUAAAUUAAUUAGCAGUAAUCAAAAUUUUAAAACUAUUUAAUCUUUUCAUUGAUCAUGUUGUUCCAUUGCCUGGGGAUUAUAAUAUUUAACACCUGUAAAAACUUGACAUCAUUAUUUAAUUGCUACACACCCAUACUUAAUCCUUAAUUACCCCUCUUGAUUACCUAUACAGGAUGUCACACCUUUUCUUUGACUAAUCAAUUUUGAAGAGAAAAGUUUAAAAAGAAUAAGAAUUUAUUGAAAUAAAUAUAAU
rnacentral:lncRNA from 1 species